rfam:Citrus sinensis cultivar Ridge Pineapple sweet orange scaffold00076_contig_3, whole genome shotgun sequence.
AUACCAUGAUGAGAACAACUUCUGAGUAGUUCCCUAAAUCUUUCCCAUGCAUCAUACAAGCUCUCAUCUUCAAGUUGGUGGAAAAAUGUAAUCUCGUUCCUCAAUUU